AUCCCAUGAUGAGGACAGGUAGCGACAUAUUCCUGCAGCCUUUCCCAAGCUUCUGGGAUUGUCUCAUCUCUUGUCUGCUGGAAGCUGGAUAUUCUUCCACGAAGGGC
rfam:Oryza punctata chromosome 1, whole genome shotgun sequence.